UGAAACUAUCAAACCCUACAGGCUAAUCAGGAGCUUGAAGUGAAACUGAAAAUCAGUCAAGAAGAAGUACUAAGCGUCCUGGGAAAAUACCACAAUAAAUCUAGCAUGGGCCAAUCCCACCAUCUGAUACAGCUGGAUUUCACCCCUUCAUUCCAGGUAAUCCAGCAGUUCAACAUUUGGCUUAAUGGACCAGACUCUGGAUUUGAACUCUAUCCUCAAUUUCUUCAACAGAAUUGGUCACAUUUUCCACAAACUAUUCAGGCCCAGGCCAGUCUAAACUAUCAUGGCCAAAAUGGCCUCAAUGGAUCUUUUGGCCUCCACACCAGUACACGGAAUCUAAUGUUCCUGGAGGCCAAUUUUGACAAUGAGUUGAAAAGGAACACCCGAGCCUUUCGUGUGAGCGCUGCCCUAAAGCAAGACAUUCUAGAUCGGUUUAAACAUGUGGAGCUGCAGUUCCUGAGUAAGGAGACGCCAUCAAGGUUGUUGUUGACAUCCUCAGUAAAAUUGAACCAGCAUUCCUUCCAGGUGGGCAUUUCAGGAUCCAAGGAACAGAAAGCUGGUGUGGUGACCCUCCGUGUCCACGUGCAACACAACCUUGAAACCUUGAAACCUCAGGAUCUUUCCCUGAAUAUUUCUCUGAAGCACCGAAUCAAUUUUAAG
rnacentral:lncRNA from 1 species